GUUUGUACUGAAGGGUGGCACCCUCAACCAGUCAACCUCUAAGCAUGUUUUCUCUAGGACAAUGCAUUUGCCUAUCAGAAAUUAAUGAAUAUCAUGUGUGACCAAUGCAUUCUGUUUUUGUUAUACAGUUGUCAUGUCUCUAACCACAAGAGGAACAAGCGUGGAGCAAAUGCUUACUUGAACACACCAGAAAAUCCUCGAUAACCAACAUUUUAAAUAGUAGAUUUCAUAUUUCUGCAACUCCAAGCGGCAUUGUGCAUGUCAUCCGGCGGUUUUCUUCCAUGCCACAGUUUUUGCAUUUGCCAGGCUUCCCUGGUUUCUUCGGAGCAUCGUCUCUGUCCAGGCAGGUAGUGCGCUUAUGUCCCUCUCAAAGACAUAUGCUACAGAAUCUUCUCCACUUGCUCAGACCCUCGUAAGCCGCCUUUUCGCUGCCAUUUGUUGGUCUGUCGACCUCUUGUUGCUUAUCAGGAGGCGCUAGGUCUUGAAGGGCAUUCCAUCACUGUUAUCUUGGUUACCAUUAUCAACACCAACAUAGUAAACCAAUCUACCCAGUUCGAGUCUCUCAUUAUGGUCUUAAAAACCUAAACCAUCCCUCUUUGCUGCCAAUGGUGCGCUCAUCGUGUGUUCAAAUGCUUCGGCACUCGCGUUGCCCGUCCGCACGACCUGCAUAGCUUUCAGGUAAGUGUUGAGUGUCUGCAUGUGAAUGACAAUUUCACUGAAUUAUCCUUCUGAUGUUGAACCAGGUCCAAGGGGAGUAUGUCCCUCCCUGGUCCAGCAAUUCGCAAUAAGCUUCACCGGGAUCUCCUCCAGAAGAAGUAUGUCCAUGACC
rnacentral:lncRNA from 1 species